CAAAAUGAGUUGGGUCAACCCAU
rnacentral:siRNA from 1 species